UGGGGAAUAUUGCACAAUGGAGGGAACUCUGAUGCAGCGACGCCGCGUGAGUGAUGAAGGACUUCGUUUCGUAAAACUCUGUUCUAUGGGAAGAAAAGGACUGUACCAUAGGAGAAAGCUCCGGCUAAAUACGUGCCAGCAGCCGCGGUAAUACGUAUGGAGCGAGCGUUGUCCGGAAUUAUUGGGCGUAAAGGGUGCGCAGGCGGCUUUACAAGUUGGAUGUGAAAUAUUGUGGCUCAACCACAAACGUGCAUCCAAAACCGCAAAGCUUGAGUUAAGGAGAGGUAAGUGGAAUUCCUGGUGUAGCGGUGGAAUGCGUAGAUAUCAGGAGGAAUACCGGUGGCGAAGGCGACUUACUGGACUUAAACUGACGCUCAGGCACGAAAGCGUGGGGAGCAAACAGG
rnacentral:rRNA from 1 species